rnacentral:lncRNA from 8 species
UUUUGAAAUAGAGACAUUUAUAUAAGCAUUGGCAAUAGUCAUUGACUAAUCAAGCAGCGCACUCAUUGAAACAGAGCCGAUGGAGAGCCGACUCCCUGUCGUGACCCAGGAGAGUCAGAGUUUGGAGGAAGACUGAAGUGAAGUCAGGUGGGCACUAGUGAAGUGAUCGAUCUGAUUGGGCAGACUUUUGUCAGUGGUAGCUGGGCAGUGUGAUUAGGGCCAACAGCAAGCAGACCAUGUCAGUGGUAAUGAUGAUAAACCUUGUGAUGGUGGUAAUCACAAAAGAGCUGCCUCCUCAAACACCAAGUCCACUGAGUCAAGAGGACCAUGUGACACAGGCCCACGCAUUUGUAAUGGCUCUUCUUGUCGUAGAGAACAGUGGCGCGCACCACUGCCUGACUCGACGUCUCCCUCUCCUCUGGGAUUUUCCAUCCUACACAGGAUGGGUGUUCCCAGAAAAAUAA